GAUCAUGGCUCAGAUUGAACGCUGGCGGCAUGCCUUACACAUGCAAGUCGAACGGGGGUAGCAAUACCCUAGUGGCGAACGGGUGAGUAAAGCAUCGGAACGUACCCAGUUGUGGGGAUAACGUAGCGAAAGUUACGCUAAUACCGCAUACGCACUGAGGUGGAAAGCGGGGGACCUUUGGGCCUCGCGCAAUUGGAGCGGCCGAUGUCGGAUUAGCUAGUUGGUGAGGUAAAAGCUCACCAAGGCGACGAUCCGUAGCUGGGUCUGAGAGGAUGAUCAGCCACACUGGGACUGAGACACGGCCCAGACUCCUACGGGAGGCAGCAGUGGGGAAUUUUGGACAAUGGGCGAAAGCCUGAUCCAGCCAUGCCGCGUGAGUGAAGAAGGCCUUCGGGUUGUAAAGCUCUUUCAGACGGAAAGAAAAUUGCCUGGGUGAAUAUCCCGGGUAGAUGACGGUACCGUAAGAAGAAGCACCGGCUAACUACGUG
rnacentral:rRNA from 1 species